UGAUGCAGACGCCAUACGAGACGAUUGUCCCAAGGAGGGAGUUAGGAGCUGACAGAGUACAGCUGAAAUGUGAAAUGUGGAAAAUCGAAAGAAUUCGAAAAUCCAUUUGUCAUCAUUUGCCACGUAAUGACGACCAUUGUUGAAGCUGGCCAGGAAUUCUAAUAAGCUGUCAUCAAUCCUGCAGCUGUAGUGUGCCUAUACUAAAAAUGGAAUAAAAAUUGUAAUAUCACAGCUAUCUUACUAAUUUUCUGUUCUUGUCUUUCAGAUAUAUGUUUUGUAAAUAGUGAAUCUCAAAUCCAAGAACUUUGAGUCGUUAUUUCACUCAAUUGACUUUCUUUUUUCCGAUUUUAAUAAUGGUGAUAAAUUGCAAGUACUUACCUGAGCAGCUGAGCUCUUCCUUUAGAACUGUGGUUCCUUUCAAUUGAUUCAUUUGAGUUUAAUCCCUCGCUGCUGUUCCAGACCUUAUCCACUAGUAGAAUAUGCCGAGAGAUGUUGAACUUAUACCAGAUUAACCCUUCCCCCUUGUGCUACAAUUUGAAGAUAUUGACGGUAACAGAAGAGCUUGCUUUCUAUCAAUAUCAAUAAAUUAGGUAGAUGUAGAUAACUUACAAGUGCAUAUCUGGGCUCCCUUCUUUUCUGUGGCCCCGUUUCCCUAACUAACCACUAACCAACGCCCGCCGGUGGUCACUCACCCGCUGUGAAACCAGGAGGAUGAGGAGGGCUCUGGUUGAACGGGGACUUGGAAGGCGCAUGAUCCUUUUGGAGGGUAAUGAGUCUAACCAGGAAGCCUACUAUGACUAAUCGCUCCCUAGUAAAACUUGCCUCGAACUCUUCCCUCUUCUUCCUUGUCCAGGUAAUCUCCCUGGGCACAGUCGAUCAAGGCAGAGUUUCCCCCUCUCUGGAUUGACUGUAUGUGGCAAUUAAAGCAAUGAAUGAGAAAAGCGUGGAAAUCUGCGUCAGGUAGUUUUAAAGAAUUAUAUAUUUUUGUAUCAAUUGAUGUUGGAAUAUUUGUUAAUAUCUUGCACGGAACAAAAAGAUUUAUUUAGUACCAGACGCUAUUGAAUUAUUAUUUAUUUAAAUAAUAUAACAGUAUGUUUUUAAUACAAAUAUUUAGUAAUAACAGUUAUGAUGUAAUAAAAAUUCAUAGA
rnacentral:lncRNA from 1 species